UACGUAGGGAGCAAGCGUUGUCCGGAAUUAUUGGGCGUAAAGCGCACGUAGGCGGCUUUGUAAGUCGGAUGUGAAAUCCCUCGGCUUAACCAAGGAAGUGCAUCCGAAACUACAGAGCUUGAGUACUUAAGAGGGAAGCGGAAUUUCCGGUGUAGCGGUGAAAUGCGUAGAUAUCUGGAGGAAUACCGGUGGCGAAGGCGGCAUCCUGGACCGGCAUUGACGCUGAUGAGCGAAAGCUAGGGGAGCAAACGGG
rnacentral:rRNA from 1 species